GUUUAUACUUUAUACAGUGUAACUAUUUAAAUGCGUGUGUAUAUAGUCAAAACAUCCCAAAUGAUAGAUUCACAACGUCUAUUAUCACUGUCGCUUGUGCUUGUAAAACCCUCCAUUAUUUGAAUCUCCUCGUCGCUUUUAUCAGCCAUAACUGCCAAGAUGUAUUUAGAAAAUACUUGCAAAACGGGAUUACUAAAGAUUGGCAG